rnacentral:rRNA from 1 species
CACCGGCAGCUCAAGUGGUGGCCGCUUUUAUUGGGCCUAAAGCGUUCGUAUCCGGCCUGAUAAGUCUCUGGUGAAAUCCCGCAGCUUAACUGUGGGAAUUGCAUUCGAUACUAUCAGGCUUGAGGCCGGGAGAGGCUGGAGGUACUCCCAGGGUAGGGGUGAAAUCCUAUAAUCCUGGGAGGACCACCUGUGGCGAAGGCGUCCAGCUGGAACGGACCUGACGGUGAGUAACGAAAGCCAGGGGCGCGAACCGG